CAGAUACAAUUUGAAAUGUAAACAUCUAGUAACAUUGCGAAAAUUCCCAACUUAUUUCGUUCGAAAUCAUACUUUCAAGCUACAGCUUCUAGAGUGAUGUAAACGAAGUCAAGUGUCCUAAUCAGUACCACCUAUACAGUUUCUUUUCCUGUCAUGAAAAACCGGCUGCUUUUCCAUACAAGUUCGUAUACCUUAGUAAACAUUGCGUCGUACUCCGACAAGGUACGGUAUACAAGAGAGUACGCUAGUCGUUGAUUCACCCGCAUUAGUUAGUUAUCAGUUUUCCCAAGUGCUAGUAGUUCGCAUUAGUCGUACCGCUUUUGAAAGCUUCCUUGGAUUUUCCUGAUUGUUACCAGCCUUACAAAAAACGAUGGGCAACGUAGUAUACUCGAUAAUCUGGCUUUUAAUCCUCUUCUUUAUAUCAUUCUUCGUAGCAGGAUUUUGCGCAUUUUUCUACAUAAUAGUUCAUCCUUUGUCAGUGUGCAUACCGCCAUUAUCGGGGCUAUCGGAUAUUUUACUACAAGGAGUCCAGUUUCCUCAUUACUGUGCCGACAAAAUGAUGACUGGAGGAUCAAUUCCAUAAACUCCAAAACACUAACUACUUGAAAACCCUUGUUUAAUAAUACUUAGUGUUACCUAAUUUAUUUUUCAACUAAUAAUGAGCAGAACAUUCGAUCUAAAAUCGGAUCAACAAUCACUCAACGAAGAAGUUGUACAAAUUUCCUUAGGAAUGGGAUCAUCAUCCCUAUAAUUUAAGUCGUUUUUCUUCUUUACUAAAGAACUGAUUAUGUAUCUUAACCACAUAUGUAUUGGAAAAUGUAUUUGCCAAAAAACAUGUGUUCAUUUAGAAUAAUUUAAUACAGUAUACUUAAGUUAUUGCAGAUUUUGGUUCAAAUUGAGCUACAACACAGUUAAGUUCAUUCACCGUUAUUUAAAUGUAAAAGAAAAUAGUAAAUAUGGACAAAAUUCAAGAAAUAAGAGAAAACAAUAAAUUACUCAUUUCAAUAUUUAAGAAAGUUGUCAGAUAGUUGCAUUAUUUAAAUUAUUGAUUUUCCCAUAACAGCGAGAAUAUUUUCUUAAUUUUUGUUUCUAAUUACACAAGUUUCUCUUUCAUAUCAGGAUUCUUAUAAGCGCAUUUUAUUUUUACUGGUACAAUACUCUUAAAGUUGGUACUUCAAUUAUCUUAUAAAAGAACAAUUUAAUUCUUUGAUUUUAUGAGUUAACUUAUCACACUGUAAAUAGAUAUGGCAAGAUGAAUGAAAAAACCGUAAUCUCUAGCAAAACGACAAGCCCGUUUCCAUCGAAAAUGUUAUUACGUAAUUUUCGGUUUUUUGCUAUUAUAAUCACCUAUUGAUGUACUUAAUUAAUUAUGAGAAGUUACUAAUAAAAUAUAUUUUUAUGAACUGUUGAAUAUUCAAUGUUCCUGAUGGAACUAUUGUGGUAAUGUUUCUUUACAACUGUAAAUAAAAUCGUUAGAACCCCUUGUUUCAUUUAGGUGUGCAUAUAAAUUAUCAUGCUUCCACUAUAGCCCUAACCGCAAGAACUUUUAUCGAAUUUUAUGAGAACGUUUUGCGAGUCUAGCAAAUCGGCGAAACCCAUUAAAUUUGUAUUUAUAGUUUUCUGCAUUAAACCACUAUUCAUUGCCCAGUACAAUCGGAAAAUUGGAAAUUCUCUUGGAUGUCGUCAAAUGUUCCGUUUUGCUGUUUAAAAAUAGAUUUUGACACUGUUGUGGAUGGUUUGCCUCGUUUUAAGAUUUAAAUGGGUGUUUCUCAAUUUAUCGUAAAGUAGGACAUAAAAUAUAUUCAGUUUUGUUGAACUGAUUUACUUAUUGCAAUAAAACUAUAUUUAUUGCAACGGAAAAACCCUAUUGAUACAAUUUAAACUAGUGUUGAAAGUGCAAGCUUUAUCAUUAAGAAAACCCCUUUUUUCAGAUGUUUUUUUUAAACUCAAUUUUGUUCACUCCCUAAUAAGAAAAUCUUUUGGUCUCAAAUAAGACGAUUAAGCAGACUAAAUUAACCAGACGAUAAAUCUAAGAAAAAACAUUAUUAUUAGUAAACAGGGCUUUCAUUUGAAAACGGACCAUUUAAAUAUAUUUUAAAUUUGAUGAGUAAACAAAUAUGAUGACGUCUGCGAUUGUUUGGAAAUCAAAGCCUUCCACAAUUAAUGUAUUAAUAUGAGAGAAAAUAUCUGCAAAAAUGCUGCUUAUUUCUUGAAUUUCUACUAUAGCUUCCACAUAAAACUCUUAUAGAACACAACGUUCGGAUGUUAUUGGGAGCAUGUUUAUUGACAAUUAAUGUUCGUAACUGGAUUGUUAUUUUUCCUUUAUAGUAACUAAAUCAUCAUUAUUCACGUGUGUUUUAAAAUCAUUUAAAUGAGCUAUCGAACAAUCGAUUCUAGGAAAGAAUAAUAAAUUUAUUUAUUAUAUUUUUCUUUGCCUUCAAAAAUCAUAUCGAAUUUUCAAAAUUUUCAUUCGUAAUUCGAAAAGGACAGCACAAUUUACAUAGCAGCUUAAACAUAAAAAAUGUUUAUGUUUGUAAAAAAACAGCAAGUCACGUUUUAAAAGAGAGUUUCGCAUUUGUUUAAAUAACUAUAUAAGAUAAAUUAAUUUCCCCAUUUCUUGGAAAAAGAAAUCUAAACUCCCUUCUCGUCAAAAUUACCCAUGCAAUGAUAUCUAUUUAUCAGUAACAAAAAUGCCUGAAAUUGCAACAUUUCAAUAGAACACAAUGUCUUGUAAUAAGUCUAAAUAUCUGCAUAUUUUCAAUUAAUUUAAUUAACAAGUUCAUAAAUUUUAGGAAUGCAAAUGCUACAAUUACACCUAAAAAAGGCAAAUUAAAUUUUUGGCAAAGUAUAAUAAAAAUUAAAUUAACUAUUCGCGUUGAACCACCUCUGAAGCAUGACACCACAUUACUUGAUUGAGGUUUUACAUUAUCUGAAACGUAUAAACAAGUUUACUUUGUUUUAAAGAUAAACAAAGCGUAACUGCACAUUGCUGGGUUAGUCGAUAACUUUUAAUUUACAUUGCCUAGCUUGGUAUGUGAUGAAAAAUAUCAUAAAGAAGUACGUGUAUAAUUGUCGGAUUGGUUUUAGUUAAGCUCGAACAAGCGUUUUUUCAAUAAGUUUUGUGAUGAAAAUGUGAUAUAACUUAUCAAGCAUAACCAGUUACUAAAAUGGCAAAAAUAAUAAUUUUCCUUCUAUGGCUGAUGGUCCUCAUACUCGUGGCUUUUGCUGUUGCUACCUUCUGUGCGGGAUUCUACAUUAUUUUGCUACCAUUAACGGUUUGCAUUGAAGAUCUUAAACCUUUAACUGAGAAGCUCCUACAAGGCUUACAAUUUCCAUUUUAUUGUGCCAACAAGAUGAUAUCUGGAGGAAUUCAAGCGUCAUAUCUGCACAUAUAAUUUUCAACGACAUCAAGUUCUAAUACAUAUGAAGUAUAUGUAUAUUAAAUUUGCAUAUUAUAGUUAACAUAUUUGAUAUGGAAAAAAUUGUAAACCGUGUAGUUUUUAUAUGUUUUAUUCAGGCGGUGUGUACAAGACCUAGAUACUGUAGAAUCAGAUAACAUUGUUCAGGUUUCUUAAGCCAUUUAUGCCAUGGAAUAUUAUCAGUGUUUGAUUGCUGUAGCCCACAAUCUAGUUAUUUCUAUAUUAUAGGUAAAAUUUUUAAAUUAAAUUUAAAAAAAUGUAAA